rnacentral:rRNA from 1 species
UACGGGGGGGGCAAGCGUUGUUCGGAAUUACUGGGCGUAAAGGGUUCGUAGGUGGCUUGUUAAGUCAGACGUGAAAUCCCUCGGCUCAACCGGGGAACUGCGUCUGAGACUGAUGAGCUCGAGUGCAGGAGAGGAACGCGGAAUUCCAGGUGUAGCGGUGAAAUGCGUAGAUAUCAGGAGGAACACCGGUGGCGAAGGCGGGUCUCUGGGCCGAUACUGACGCUGAGGAGCGAAAGCGUGGGGAGCGAACAGG